AAGCAGAAUUCGGUAAGCGUUGGAUGUUCACCACUAAUAGGGAACGUGAGCUGGGUUUAGACCGUCGUGAGACAGUGUUUACCUACUGAUGAAUGUUACCGCAAUAGUAAUUGAACUUAGUACGAGAGGAACAGUUCAUUCGGAUAAUGGUUUUUUGCGGCUGUCUGAUCAGGCAUUGCCGCGAAGCUACCAUCCGCUGGAUUAUGGCUGAACGCCUCUAAGUCAGAAUCCAUGCUAGAACGCGGUGAUUUCUUUGCUCCACACAAUAUAGAUGGAUACGAAUAAGGCGUCCUUGUGGCGUCGCUGAACCAUAGCAGGCUAGCAACGGUGCACGUUGGCGGAAAGGCCUUGGGUGCUUGCUGGCGAAUUGCAAUGUCUAUUUUGCGUGGGGAAUAAAUCAUUUGUAUACGACUUAGAUGUACGAACGGGGUAUUGUAAGCAGUAGAGUAGCCUUGUUGUUACGAUCUGCUGAGAUUAAGCCUUUGUUGUCUGAUUUGU
rnacentral:ncRNA from 1 species